rnacentral:rRNA from 1 species
GUGAAUCAUCGAGUCUUUGAACGCACAUUGCGCCCUUUGGUAUUCCGAAGGGCAUGCCUGUUCGAGCGUCAUUAUCACCCCUCAAGCCCCCGUGCUUGGUGUUGGACGGCCGGUCGAGGACUCCCUCGCCACCCCUCCUAACUUUAAUGACGGCGGCCUGUGGUUCCCCCGGUACAAUGAGCUUCUCACCGAGCACGUGCCGGACAAGGGCGCCCCAGGACCCGGUCUUCUCCUCUCACGAGGAAAUUUUUUACAAGGUUGACCUCGGAUCAGGUAGGAAUACGCGCUGAACUUAAGCAUAUCAAUAAGGCGAGG